rnacentral:rRNA from 1 species
UGCAGUCGAGCGGGGGAGGUUGCUUCGGUAACUGACCUAGCGGCGGACGGGUGAGUAAUGCUUAGGAAUCUGCCUAUUAGUGGGGGACAACAUCUCGAAAGGGAUGCUAAUACCGCAUACGUCCUACGGGAGAAAGCAGGGGACCUUCGGGCCUUGCGCUAAUAGAUGAGCCUAAGUCGGAUUANCUAGUUGGUGGGGUAAAGGCCUACCAAGGCGACNAUCUGUAGCGGGUCUGA